GGCCAGACUCCUACGGGAGGCAGCAGUGGGGAAUAUUGCACAAUGGGGGGAACCCUGAUGCAGCGACGCCGCGUGGGUGAAGGAGUAUUUCGGUAUGUAAAGCCCUCUCAGCAGGGAAGAACAAUGACGGUACCUGACUAAGAAGCACCGGCUAAAUACAUGCCAGCAGCCGCGGUAAUACGUAUGGUGCAAGCGUUAUCCGGAUUUACUGGGUGUAAAGGGAGCGCAGGCGGCGCGUUAAGCCUGGUGUGAAAGCCCGCGGCCCAACCGCGGGACUGCAUUGGGAACUGGCGCGCUGGAGUGUGUGAGAGGAUAGUGGAAUUCCAGGUGUAGGAGUGAAAUCCGUAGAUAUCUGGAGGAACAUCAGUGGCGAAGGCGACUAUCUGGCACAUAACUGACGCUGAGGAGCGAAAGCGUGGGUAGCAAACAGGAUUAGAUCCCCCAGUA
rnacentral:rRNA from 1 species